rnacentral:rRNA from 1 species
UACGGAGGGUGCGAGCGUUGUCCGGAAUCACUGGGCGUAAAGGGCGCGUAGGCGGCCUGAUAAGUAGGGGGGUGAAAUCCUGCGGCUUAACCGCAGGGCUGCCUUCUAAACUGUCAGGCUGGAGCACAGUAGAGGCAGGUGGAAUUCCCGGUGUAGCGGUGGAAUGCGUAGAGAUCGGGAAGAACAUCAGUGGCGAAGGCGGCCUGCUGGGCUGUUGCUGACGCUGAGGCGCGACGGCGUGGGGAGCAAACAGG